GUUGGUUAUGGUGAUAUGAGACCUGUAACAAUGUGGGGUAAACUUGUUGGAUCAUUAUGUGCUAUUGCCGGUGUAUUAACUAUUGCAUUACCAGUACCUGUGAUUGUUUCAAAU
rfam:Schistosoma curassoni strain Dakar, Senegal genome assembly, scaffold: SCTD_scaffold0000160